rnacentral:tRNA from 1 species
CUAUGUCCGAGUGGUUAAGGAGGUAGAUUCGAAAUCUACUGGGCUUAGCCCGCGUAGGUUCGAAU